GUUUGGAUGAUGAAAUAAAUCAGACGGAUUCCCAAUGAUUUCUCUUUCUUUCUUGAAGAGAUGAUUACACAACCAGCUACUUCUGACUUCAU